rnacentral:rRNA from 1 species
GACGAACGCUGGCGGCGUGCUUAACACAUGCAAGUCGACCGGAGAAGCUCCAGCUAGCUGGCGUGGAUCAGUGGCGAACGGGUGAGUAACACGUGAGCAACCUGCCCCUGACUCUGGAAUACGCGCUGGAAACGGCGUCUAAUACUGGUUACGAGAAGGCUCCGCAUGGGCACUUUCUGUAAAGUUAUUCGGUUGGGGAUGGGCUCUCAGCCUAUCGGCUUGUUGGUGAGGUAAUGGCCCACCAAGGCGACGACGGGUAGCCGGCCUGAGAGGUCGAGCAGCCAGACUGGGACUAGAAUACGGCGCAGAGCCCUAGGGGAGGCAGUAGCGGGGAAGGAUGCACAAUGGGGGAAAGCCGGCGGCAGAGACGCGGCGGGAGUGAGGACGGAAUUCGGUGUGGAAACAGCAUUCAGCAGGGAAGAAGCGAAAGUGACGGUACCUGAAGAAGAAGCACCGGCUAACUACGUG